rnacentral:rRNA from 1 species
UUAUUGGGUCUAAAGGGUCCGUAGCCGGUUKGGUCAGUCYUCCGGGAAAUCUGAUAGCUCAACUAUUAGGCUAUCGGGGGAUACUGCCAGGCUUGGAACCGGGAGAGGUAAGAGGUACUACAGGGGUAGGAGUGAAAUCUUGUAAUCCCUGUGGGACCCACCUGUGGCGAAGGCGUCUUACCAGAACGGGUUCGACGGUGAGGGACGAAAGCUGGGGGCACGAACCGGAUUAGAUACCCGGGUAGUCCCAGCCGUAAACGAUGCUCGCUAGGUGUCAGGCAUGGCGCGACCGUGUCUGGUGCCGCAGGGAAGCCGUGAAGCGAGCCACCUGGGAAGUACGGCCGCAAGGCUGAAACUUAAAGGAAUUGGCGGGGGAGCAC